rnacentral:rRNA from 1 species
AGUGAACGCUGGCGGUAGGCCUAAUACAUGCAAGUCGAACGGCAGCACAGUAAGAGCUUGCUCUUACGGGUGGCGAGUGGCGGACGGGUGAGGAAUACAUCGGAAUCUACUUUUUCGUGGGGGAUAACGUAGGGAAACUUACGCUAAUACCGCAUACGACCUACGGGUGAAAGCAGGGGAUCUUCGGACCUUGCGCGAUUGAAUGAGCCGAUGUCGGAUUAGCUAGUUGGCGGGGUAAAGGCCCACCAAGGCGACGAUCCGUAGCUGGUCUGAGAGGAUGAUCAGCCGCACUGGAACUGAGACACGGUCCAGACUCCUAAGGGAGGCAGCAGUGGGGAAUAUUGGACAAUGGGCGCAAGCCUGAUCCAGCCAUACCGCGUGGGUGAAGAAGGCCUUCGGGUUGUAAAGCCCUUUUGUUGGGAAAGAAAAGCAGCAGGUUAAUACCCCGCUGUUCUGACGGUACCCAAAGAAUAAGCACCGGCUAACUUCGUG